AAGCAGGAGUGAUGGGCAAUCGCAAGAUGGACGGUGUCAUUCUGAAGGGAAGGAUUGUCGGAUUCCAUGAGGCAGAGCCUCACAUCCUGAGAUUCUCCAUCACAGACGAGGACUGAAGGCAGCCCAGUCAUACAGGACCAAACCUGAACGCUGGCGAAUACAAAAAUAAAGCUUAAUUUUCAUGACCAGAUUAUAUGCUAAUCAGCGCCAAUCUUUAAGGCUCUGAGCUGUAGAGGGACAGGAACGGGGUAUAAUUGCCACAUCACUGAAUCAAAAAAAUAAAUGUAUCACUAGAAUGAGCACAUGAAAUGGA